CACUGGAUAUUAAAAAGGAAGUAAUGAUUCUGUAGGCAGCCUUCUAUGCACAGGGAUACCAGCCUUAUAAUUUAUGAAAGCAGAGAAGUGAUGAUGCAACUGGCUUCCUGAUUCUAUGAUGAAACCACUGCUGAAGCAACCAAUCUUUGAGGCAAGAUCCUACUUUUACCUCCCUUAGCUAAUACUUUUAUUUUUUUACUACUUUGUGUGUGGUUUUUUUUUGUUUUUUAGGGCUGUACCCAUGGCAUAUGGAACUUCCUGGGCUAGAAGUUAAAUCUGGCUGCAGCUGCUGGCUUAUACCACAGCCAUGCAAGAUCUGACUGUAUCUAUGACCUAUACCACGGCUUCUGGCAAUGCCAGAUCCUUAAACCACUGAGUGGGACCAGGGAUUGAACCCCCGUUCCUAAUGGAUACUAGUUGGGUUCGGUACUACUAAGCCAUAAUGGGAACUCCUUUGUAUUUCUUUUGAUUGCAACUAAUAGCAUUCUAGGAGUUCCUGUGGUAGCUAAGCAGUAACAAACCCAAUUAGUAGCCAUGAAGAUUUGGGUUCGAUCCCUGGACCCAGUCAAUGAGUUAAUCAUCCAGCCUUGCGUGAGCUGAGAUGUAGUUCGCAGACAUAGCUUGCAUCUGGUGUUACUGUGGCUUUGGCUUAGGUCAGCAGCUGCAGCUCCAAUUGGACCCCUAACCUGGGAACUUCCAUAUGCCGCAGAUACAGCCCUAAAAAAAAUGGCACUCUAAAAAAGCAGUAUUAUCCUGAUGAAACUUUGCUUAUCUAAAACCUUAUUUGGGCCUUACCUUACCUCCUGCUUCAAGUUAUGCUUUUGUUCAGAGAGGAAGCAAGUGCUACACCAUUCACAAUUACCUGAAAAUUGGGAUCAUUAGGCAAUCCAAACAUUAAUUCCCUCCUUGGCUGAUUGUAUGAUGAAAACCUAUUUAAUGAAUGUAUAAUAAGUAUCACCGUGUACAAUCUUUAAAUCACCUGAUAUCUGGGGACUUAAUAUAGCUUUAAAGAAUUAACACCCUCUUCAAAGAUCUCUGUUCAAAAAUACUAGAAAUUUUAAAAGGAAAACUGUCAAACUCAGGACCUGACAGUUGUAAAACAGUCCCCUCAGUGUCUCCCUAAACUUGCUGUAUGGAAUCUACCUCAGUGUUGAGUAAUUUUCUCAGUGAAUGGUAUUGGUAAUGUAUUCUGAAGUCAUUUACCUAGCCUUGACUGUAUAUAUAUUAUAUAUAUAUAUAGCUAAAAUAUAAUAACAUGAAACAGCACAUUAUCUCCUCCAUGCUAGGUAAAUAACUGAAAAGAAAACCAUACAAUCAGUCUAAUCAGUAUUUUUAUCCAUCAGUCCUUUUCAGAAAAUAACAAUGGCAAAACACAUAGCGUGCGUCUGUUUACAGAAACUUUUUUUGAAGUAUAGCUUUCAAUAUUGCACAGUUUACACUGUGGGAAAACUGUUUUAUGGUACUGGUGUUCAACUUAGUUUAUUUAGUUCCCUAUUUAACCCCUUUUCUUUCUUUAGGAAAUAUCUAUGAUCUCCUAUAACCAUCAAACAAGGAAGAAAUAUAGAUGCAUUUUCUCUCAUAAUGCAACCUUCAAAUUGCCAUUCAUUCCAUGAUUCCACUCUACCCAAUAAACAACACAAGAGGAUCUCUUCUGCAGUUUGACUUGGAUGAUAUUCCUUUUCAAGGUGUAGAAAACUUUUGGAAAUAAGUUAGUCAUGAGAAACUUUAUAAAAUAUUUUCCUAAAUUCCUUUAUGCACUUGCCUAUUAAUAAUUCUAUAAACAAUUUAUUUUUAAUUAUAUGAGGUCAAACUAUCUUUUUUCCCCACUCACAUUUGAUGGUCAGCAUAACAAGCAAUUAAAAAAUGACAUUCAGAACCCUUUGGCAGGGUUUAGCUGAACCAAGAUUGCUCUGGAGAGCUUCUCACAGUGGCACUGCAUACAUGGAAAAGGACAACUGGACUGAAUUUUGACAACAACUUCCCCAAAUCCAACACAAUACUUUAUGGUCUUUGUGUCAAUACUGUACAGUUUAGUACUAAAAUUUGUAUUUUUUUAAAUUUAUUGAGAAGCAAUUAGAACAUUCUGUCACAAAAGAUCAGUGGGGAUUUUUACACAUUGUUACAUAAUAUAUGCUAGUAUAUACUGAAAUUAAUUUUAAGAAUACAGAGAAUGAAACUGGAUCUGUCUCAAACCAUUAAGCUUUUGUGAUAGUCAGUCACAAGAUUUUAAAAUGUUAAACCACCUUGAAUUUUUAAUUUGGGAAAAAGCAUUGUUGUUAUAUUCAAAUGAAGUUUGUCUGUAACUAUAAUAUAUUAGAUUUACAUAGAAAUUCUGGCAAGAAAUAUACUAAAUAAAUUUUAUUUUCUACAACCAGUUAUAUGGCGUAUAUUUUAAGUGGGAUUUCACAUAAAUGCACAAACAUAUUAAUCUAAAAAUGAAUAUCAGUGAAUAAACACCUCAACAUUGUCAAUUAACACUGAUGCAAUAUAUAUCAACAUGUAUAUAUAUAUGUGUGUGUAUACACGUGUAUAUCUAUAUAUAUAUAGAUAGCCAGAUACAGGUAUUACUGAACUGCUGUACUAUAUGCAUGAAAGUAACUUGAUAUAGUAAAUAAACUACACUUCAAUUAAAAAAUAUCCUAACAUUGAGGCUUAUAAUUUAGUAAAUGCAGUCUUUUAUUGAAAAGCUCCCUUUUUUGGCUCAUUCUUCUUGAAAAGGAAAAAUAUAAAAGUAUAGGGAUAUUUUAGUUACUUUAGCAAAUAAAAUUUAUUUAUUUAUUUUUGCUAGAGGUACAUAUACUUUUCAAGCAGCAGAUUGACUCAUGUGAACAGUACGAUGGAUAUGCAUUUUGAAAUGUGUUUUACUUUUAAUAAAUAUAUAGAUCCAGUAAGUUUUCCUUGAAAAGAAUUAAGAACUCAGAGAAAACAUGAAAUCCUACAUGUUUAUUCUUAAUCUCUAAAAUCAGCUGUGAAAGAAAUUUUGUUGGUAAAAGAGAAUGUAACCAUAAGCCAAAGAAAUUGUUAAUCACACAACUAUAGUCUUGAAGAUGAGCCUUGAAACUGACCAGCAACUGUGUGAACUGUAUGUCUGUGUACAUGUGUGUGCAUGUGUACGCGAGUGUGUGUGUGUUGUUUUGUUUAGCCACUUUAUAAAAGAUUACAGAAAAAUAAUGUAUCAGUUUGUGUAUAUAAUAAGUGUCACAAAGUCAUUAUUCAACCCUCAGUAAUAUAAGCUCUACCUGUUCACAUAGAUGAGAAAAGUACUCAGCUGGUAUGAAACACAACUCAAAAAAAAUAUUUUAUCUUCCAAUAUCUAAAUUUAAUUUAUAGUUUGGCAGCCAUUUCAUAUUUAGUUAACUUUCCUCUACUGGUAGACUUUUUGAAAUCCUCUAACCCAUUGUGAAAAAGUAGUCUUUUUAGGAGUUCCCGUUGCGGCACAGUGGUUGACGAAUCCAACUAGGAACCAUGAGGUUGCGGGUUCGAUCCCUGCCCUUGCUUAGUGGGUUGACGAUCUGGCGUUGCCUUGUGCUGUGGUGUGGGUUGCAGACGCAGCUCGGAUCCCGCGUUGCUGUGGCUCUGGCAUAGGCCAGUGGCUACAGCUCCGAUUCGACCCCUAUCCUGGGAGCCUCCAUAUGCCGCGGGAGCGGCCCAAGAAAUAGC
rnacentral:lncRNA from 1 species